rnacentral:rRNA from 1 species
CUAUUGUUGUAUUUCUCAUAGCCAGACUGCCUUGUACAGCAAGGAGGAAGGUGGGGAUGACGUCAAGUCAGCAUGGCCUUUAUGCCCUGGGCUACACACACGCUACAAUGGGUGGGUACAGAGGGUUGCCACGGAGCAAUCCGGAGCGAAUCCCUUAAAACCAUCCUCAGUUCGGAUUGCAGGCUGCAAUCGCCUGCAUGAAGCCGGAGCUGCUAGUAACCGCAGGUCAGCUAUACUGCGGUGAACUACGUUCUCGGGCCUU